rnacentral:tRNA from 1 species
GCCGGGGUGGCCGAGCGGUGAGGCAGCGGACUGCAGAUCCGCUAUACCGGGGUUCAAAGCCCUUAAUGGGGGUGGAACUCCCUGCCCCGGCUCCA